CGUGAGAAAUUCAAAUAGAAGAUUGGUUUCGGCCCAAUAGUUGAGUGUCUUGAAUGCUCUCUCAUGU
rnacentral:tRNA from 1 species